CUUUUCUGCAGGGUCGCGCCUGCGUCGCUUUCCUCGCACACUGGGUAAUCCAUCUAGCGGAGUCAGCCUGAACGCUGGGUGCAUUUCCCUGUGGAUACAGGGGACAGUGAGGAAAGGCGUCUAGAAGGACCGGUGGGGAGUAAUAAAGAUUAGGAGCGGGUAUGAGGCCGUCUUCUGUACAGUCGGAGGGUCC
rnacentral:lncRNA from 1 species